AGCCAGACUCCUACGGGAGGCAGCAGUGGGGAGUAUUGCACAAUGGGGGAAACCCUGAUGCAGCGACGCCGCGUGAGCGAUGAAGUAUUUCGGUAUGUAAAGCUCUAUCAGCAGGGAAGAAAAUGACGGUACCUGACUAAGAAGCCCUGGCUAACUACGUGCCAGCAGCCGCGGUAAUACGUAGGUGGCAAGCGUUGUCCGGAAUUACUGGGUGUAAAGGGCGUGUAGGCGGGAAAGCAAGUCAGAUGCGAAAACCAUGGGCUCAACCUGUGGCCUGCAUUUGAAACUGUUUUUCUUGAGUACUGGAGAGGCAGACGGAAUUCCUAGUGUAGCGGUGAAAUGCGUAGAUAUUAGGAGGAACACCAGUGGCGAAGGCGGUCUGCUGGACAGCAACUGACGCUGAGGCGCGAAAGCGUGGGGAGCAAACAGGAUUAGAUACCCGUGUACA
rnacentral:rRNA from 1 species